UAAUAUAUAUAUAAUAUAUAUAUAUAUACCGAUGCAGUCGUUAUUUUAGUUCGUUUAAAUCGCACAAGGGUCGUUCCUAUGCCAAAUAACGACUGCGAAAGAGUGUGGAUAACGAACAUACUUACCACUACCCUGAUUUUUUAAACAUCAAAAAUUUUAUAUUGAAAAAAGUUAGAUGUAAUUUCUGUCAGAAAUAAAUUGUCGGGUCCUUAGUUGAAAACAUGAUAAAUAGAGGUAAAUGUCAUUUUGUUCGUACAUAUAUUGUAUUGUAUAAUUUUGUUAGUUUCACAAUUUAUAUGCAUAUCAUACCAACGGUUACUUAUGAACAAAAUGAACACAACAUUCCUUCUAUAUUCCAAAGUCAAAAUGGGUUUAUUUUAUUGCGUAAUUACUAGUUGAGACGGUUUUCUUUGAUGUACUUCAGGAUGUAUACAGUAAUAGCCCGUGAAUAAAUAAAUAAAUAAGAUUAAACUUCGAAAUUGAUGAAACUUGUUCCAAAAGGCAAAACCUCCUCAACUAGUUAAUACGUCGUUUAUAAACUUCGAAGUUGGGAUAUAAGUAGUAUAUGAUAUAAUAUAUGAAUGACUUGGAGACUGAUGGAACUCAUUAUUUCUCGGUUUAUAACCUAUAUGGCUAUACAAGUAUAUAUGGGCUUGUAUGUAUAACCUACGAUUCCAUCCUGUCUUAGCGAAAUCUCAAAAAAUACAUGAUUCAAAUGUAUUUGCCAAUUUGGAUGAGUUUUAAAGCUCGAAUAAAUUGCAAUUAUACAUCACUUAGGUUACGUUACAAUGAGGAAUUGUGUUCCUUUUGUUAAAAAAAUGAUGUAAAAAUACCAGUUAGUUGUAGAGAUACGAAGAGCGAGAUUCCAGUUAUGAAGGCAAAGUUUCAUUCGUUUAAUAUAUUUCACAAAUCCGACUAAUAUUAUUUAAUAAAUUAAUGGGUGAUUCCGGCUAUGGACGAAAUUUUGAUCUAGACAAGAAGAACGAAACCAACACUACACCUAGAAAGAGCAUCUUAAAAUGAGUAAAAUUGCAAAGUUUGGUUGCAAAAUGUUGUAAAACGAAGAAAAUUUAGCCCUGUGAGGUUCGCAAAUUUUGUAUAUAUUUGUAUUAAGCGCGGUAAAAAUAACCACUUUCCGCUCAAAAAUGGUUAUUUUUCCCGCGCGUAAUGUGUUGGAUUUCAUUCUUCUUGUCUAGAUCAAAACUUCGUCCAUAGGUAUAGACUGCGAGCAAUACCUCUAUUUUCCUUCGUUUUAUUGUUUCCCGGACUAAGAUUGAACGCGCGGGAAAAUGGCAAAAAGGGUCGCAGUCUACCAUAGGUAUAGCUGGAAUCACUCAUUAAAUUACUGUUCUUCGUAAUUUGGAAUCUUCAACUUUCUAAUGUAUUCGUAGGAGCUUUAAAUUUUGUACAAUGUGUUAAAAAAUAAAAUACUCAAAAA